CUUAACAUGUUAAUGCAGAGGCAUUGCACAUGUCACCAGAGGGGGGAGUAGGGUGUAUACCCGUAGUCCCCAAUUUACAAAUUCAAAAUUGCUUCUUAGCAAGCCAAGGGAAAAAUAAACAACCAGGGGCACCGCUCGAACAAAGGGAAGAGCAGAGGAAUCAUGCUCCCACCAGAGUAGAGGGAUCAUGCUGCCACCAGAGCAGAGGGUUAUACUUAACCGUAAGCCACGAAAGUUGGUUGCACCCCCCGGGUCUUCCAUGCUCCGUGCAGGGUAUUAUUUCUGUUCAACCGUAAGCCACGAAAGUUGGUUGCACCCCCCGGGUCUUCCAUGCUCCGUGCAGG
rnacentral:lncRNA from 1 species